rnacentral:rRNA from 1 species
AACGAACGCUGGCGGCAUGCCUAACACAUGCAAGUCGGACGGACGGUCGCAAGACCGUUAGUGGCGGACGGGUGCGUAACGCGUGGGAACCUGCCCUGAAGUUCGGAAUAACUGCGGGAAACUGCAGCUAAUACCGGAUGUGGCCUGCGGGCCAAAGGGGAAACUCGCUUCAGGAGGGGCCCGCGUCCGAUUAGCUAGUUGGUGAGGUAAUGGCUCACCAAGGCGAUGAUCGGUAGCUGGUCUGAGAGGACGACCAGACACACUGGAACUGAGAUACGGGCCAGACUCCUACGGGAGGCAGCGGUGGGGAAUAUUGGACAAUGGGGGCAACCCUGAUCCAGCAAUGCCGCGUGAGUGAUGAAGGCCUUCGGGUUGUAAAGCUCUUUUGGCGGGGACGAUGAUGACGGUACCCGCAGAAUAAGCCCCGGCUAACUUCGUGCCAGCCGCCGCCGUAACAC